rnacentral:tRNA from 2 species
GAGGGGUGGUUCAACCAACAAGAACUGCUAAUUCUUGCAUCUGAGCCUAAAAUCUCAGCCCCCUUG